GGAGCCUCAUUUGGAAAGUUGAGCAUGUAAAGGACUGAGCAACAAGACUGGUGGAAAAACCUCGAAAGACUUCCAAGAAGUUUCGAGCUGCAGGAAUUCCUGAUGGUGCUGAGUGUGUAAGAACCACCUAACUUUGAGAAGAAGUGGAUUCAAGCUUCACGGUCAAGCUUCACGAGCAACCUGAGAAGGAGGAACCCUCUUAACCAUGUGUAGAUGUGCCAUAUCGUGUACCAGGUUACGAAGCUGCUGGUCCAGAAUCUGAAUAUCUGUAGGAACUAAACCUCGACUGACGCGACUCCAUGGCUCAUUAUGACCUGAUGGAUGACAAGGACUCUGUGGAUAUUCAUGACAACCCCCCUCUCCCUGACAAUGUGGUGAAAGAGGAGGACAACACGG